rnacentral:rRNA from 1 species
CCUACGGGUGGCAGCAGUGAGGAAUAUUGGUCAAUGGCCGGGAGGCUGAACCAGCCAAGUCGCGUGAGGGAAGACGGCCCUACGGGUUGUAAACCUCUUUUGUCAGGGAGCAAGGUGCAGGUCGGGACCUGCUGUGAGAGUACCUGAAGAAAAAGCAUCGGCUAACUCCGUGCCAGCAGCCGCGGUAAUACGUAGGGGGCAAGCGUUGUUCGGAAUGACUGGGCGUAAAGGGUGUGUAGGUGGUUUGAUAAGUUAGAUGUGUAAUACCCAGGGCUUAACUCGGGUGCUGCAUCUAAAACUGUUAGACUUGAGUACUGGAGAGGAUAGUGGAAUUCCUAGUGUAGCGGUGGAAUGCGUAGAUAUUAGGAGGAACAUCAGUGGCGAAGGCGACUAUCUGGACAGCAACUGACACUGAGGCACGAAAGCGUGGGGAGCAAACAGGAUUAGAUACCCUAGUAGUC